AGACAUGAGGUUGCCAAUCAGUAAGGG
rnacentral:piRNA from 1 species